AGGUCUAUUGUGCCAGAUUGCAUCAGACGUAUUUUCUGUAGAAGGACGGAAGGCAACGAUAAUGGAAGUGGGGGUGAUUCCAGCAGCCAGGAAAAUCAAGAUAUGUUGGAGGACUAGUCGAUAGCAAGGAUUUCGCUGUCGACAUAUUUGUGGAUGUCAUGCCUCGAUUUCUGCUCCACCAUACAGAAUUAACUUACCUACCGAUUUGACUAGUAAUUUGUUAAAAAUGUAUUGACAAAACGUGAUGAUAUCUUGCACGGCCAAGAGUGUCAUAUCGGCUUUUCAUAGAGAGAACAUUAUAAUUAAUUUAAUUUAAGGGGAUAAUCUCAAUUUAAGAACUUUUGCAAUGAUUUCGAUCACUAAAGAGAUAAACUACAUUUCAAUUUCUUUAUUUAACAUGUCCAAAGUAUAGACUGCCAGGAAUACUAAUUUAGGGUUGGUUAUU